rnacentral:rRNA from 1 species
GACGAACGCUGGCGGCAUGCCUAACACAUGCAAGUCGAACGAGAACUUCGUGCCUAGGGGCGCAGGGCUGCGUAACACGGGGGAACCUGCACUUGAGUUCGGAAUCACUCACCGAAAGGGAUGCUAAUACCGGAUAAUGUCUUAGGGCCAAAGAUCUAUCGCCGUUGGAUGGGCCCGCGUUGGCUUAGCUAGUUGGUAGGGUACAAGCCUACCAAGGCCACGAUCCAUAGCUGGUCGGGGAGGAUGAUCAGCCACACUGGGACUGAGACACGGCCCAGACUCCUACGCGAGGCAGGAGUGUGGUAUAUUGGACGCGGGGCGCAAGUCUGAUACCGCAACGCGGCGUGAGAGAGGAAGGCGUUAGGAUUGUAAAUCUCUUUUACCCGGGAUGAUAAUGACAGUACCGGGAGAAUAAGCACCGGCUAACUACGUG